rnacentral:rRNA from 1 species
UGAGUAACCUGCCCUUAACUCUGGGAUAAGCCUGGGAAACUGGGUCUAAUACCGGAUAUGACUCCUCAUCGCAUGGUGGGGGGUGGAAAGCUUUAUUGUGGUUUGGAUGGAUCGCGGCCUAUCAGCUUGUUGGUGAGGUAAUGGCUCACCAAGGCGACGACGGGUAGCCGGCCUGAGAGGGUGACCGGCCACACUGGGACUGAGACACGGCCCAGACUCCUACGGGAGCAG